rnacentral:rRNA from 1 species
GAAUUUUGGGCAAUGGGCGAAAGCCUGACCCAGCAACGCCGCGUGAAGGAUGAAGUAUUUCGGUAUGUAAACUUCGAAAGAAUGGGAAGAAUAAAUGACGGUACCAUUUAUAAGGUCCGGCUAACUACGUUCCAGCAGCCGCGGUAAUACGUAGGGACCAAGCGUUGUUCGGAUUUACGGGGCGUAAAGGGCGCGUAGGCGGCGUGACAAGUCACUUGUGAAAUCUCUGAGCUUAACUCAGAACGGCCAAGUGAAACUGUUGUGCUAGAGUGCAGAAGGGGCAAUCGGAAUUCUUGGUGUAGCGGUGAAAUGCGUAGAUAUCAAGAGGAACACCUGAGGUGAAGACGGGUUGCUGGGCUGACACUGACGCUGAGGCGCGAAAGCCAGGGGAGCAAACGGG